CUUUGUGACUUAUACCUUACUGUUGCCUCGGCGCUAGCUGGCCCUUCGGGGCCCCUCACCCUCGGGUGUUGAGACGGCCCGCCGGCGGCCAACCUAACUCUUGUUUUUACACUGAAUCUCUGAGAAUAAAACAUAAAUGAAUCAAAACUUUCAACAACGGAUCUCUUGGUUCUGGCAUCGAUGAAGAACGCAGCGAAAUGCGAUAAGUAAUGUGAAUUGCAGAAUUCAGUGAAUCAUCGAAUCUUUGAACGCACAUUGCGCCCUCUGGUAUUCCGGAGGGCAUGCCUGUUCGAGCGUCAUUUCAACCCUCAAGCCUGGCUUGGUGAUGGGGCACUGCUUUUACCCAAAAGCAGGCCCUGAAAUUCAGUGGCGAGCUCGCCAGGACCCCGAGCGCAGUAGUUAAACCCUCGCUUUGGAAGGCCCUGGCGGUGCCCUGCCGUUAAACCCCCAACUUCUGAAAAUUUGACCUCGGAUCAGGUAGGAAUACCCGCUGAACUUAAGCAUAUCA
rnacentral:rRNA from 1 species